GCACUGGCAAAAUCCAGUGUCGGGAUUCGUACCCCGCACCUUACACAUGGCGCAUAGAUGCCGGCUGAACCUUAGCCUUCAU
rnacentral:sRNA from 1 species